CAGAGUAUAGCUAAAUAGAAAAGCAUCUCCCUUACACUGAGAAGUCAUCUGUGCAAAUCAGAUUACCCUGA
rnacentral:tRNA from 1 species